rnacentral:rRNA from 1 species
UACAGAGGUCUCGAGCGUUAGGCGGAAUCACUGGGCUUAAAGCGUGUGUAGGCGGACUUCUAAGUACCUUGUGAAAUCCCACGGCUCAACCGUGGAACUGCUUGGUAUACUGGUUGUCUUGGGCCAUCUAGGGGCGAGCGGAACAAACGGUGGAGCGGUGAAAUGCGUAGAUAUCGCUUGGAACGCCAAAGGUGAAAACAGGUUGCUGGGGAUGCGCUGACACUGAGACGCGAAAGCCAGGGGAGCGAACGGG